AAUUCCAGAGCAAAUAAGGAAGAGUAUUAUAGCCUUCCUUUAAUCCCCCUUUGGCUGUUUAUCAUUAUUCUGGCAUCUGAGAUUUGGAGGAUGCUAAGCUGCUGGAGAGUCCACAAUGAGUGGGAGCACUAUAUUCAAUUCAAAAUUAAGAGUUCCACGGACUGCAAAGGGAAUUUAAAUAAAUAAAAUUGCAAGCUCUGCCUCAGAUUGCCAAGCCUAGGAUAUGAUCACAAGAAUGUUAUCAACAAAGCUUUGCAGCUCAGGACCUCUUGAUCUGUUAGGCUGGGUCUAAAAUCUAGAGAAUGAAUUUUGCCUGAGCCUGUUAAUGCAGGUAUUUCAGUGUGGUGAAUGGUUGGAUUGUAAGUUUUCUGGGGCAAAGGAUGUUUUAUUGUGUAGGAGGCUCCGCUGUUCUUCAAAGCAUCAUAGUCCUGUGGAAGGGUAUCCUAAAAAAUGCCAUUUGGGGGCUUUUGCAGGAAUGCCAUGCAUGGAAUUAGGAUUUGAUGGUGAAGGGAAAAAAGUGGAGAAAGCUUUAGUAGCUUACUUUUGAUAUGGCCUAGUUUCUGUGAGUAGAAAUAUUUCUCCUUCUGUGUGUGUAUGUACAUGCGUAGGUGUAUUUCUGUAUGACUUUUUCAAAUUCUCUGCAAUGCUGUCUCCUCUGUGGGCAAAUAGGAUUAUGCAUUAAAACAGAAUUAAUCUCUCAUUGUAAAACACACAGGCUCAGUGUUUGCCACGGCUCUGCUUUCAGAAUGUGAUUCAGAUAUUGUGGUCUUCACCAAAGAAAGGCAGAUUCUUGAUGGAAACUACUUCCAUCUGUUUCUGCAAGUGAAAAAGUUAAUGUAUCAGUCAUGCAUCAUUGCUGGAUUAGCAAUCACACCCCCAAAUGCUAAUAAUCAGUAAACUGCCUGACAUGGCGAAAGAACAAAGAAGUGCCUUAACUAGACUCAUUGUUUCUUAUGGUUGUAGUUUCUGUUGAUGAUGACUCUACAUAUAAUUUUUUUCCUUUUUCAUUUCUUUCCCCAUCUCAUUCAGUCUGGCCACAUGAAACUGGUGUUGAACAGAAGAAAGUUUGCCACAGUUGAUCACUCAACACUCUAGUGCUGGGUCAUGCAGGCUGGAGGGAUUCUGCAAGGCUGAAUGCUGUGGAAGGAACUGGAACCAAGUUAAUGUGGAAAAGCUCGUAAGUUUGGACUGUAUGACUGACACCUUCUCUUGGCACAUAUGCUCUGCCCACCCCUCCCUUCCAUGGAACUGGUUGUGCAGAUGGAGGUACGGAAAUGCUCCACAUUGGCAGUGAAGUGACCAUGUCUGAUAAGGACGUCCAGAGCUCAAGGAACCGCUGUACAUGGGAGGAUUUAAAUGGUGGAGAGUUUGCUGCUCCUCAGGUCUAACGGUGUCCACCCUCACUUCUCAGAAGCUGCUGCAGAAGAAAGAAGAAGCGGCGUGGGGAACUGGGAGGCCAGAGCAAGCAAGAAGAGGAGGCUGUUGUCUGUCUAUCUCAUGGGACUAAUUUUGGCCUUUUGCAGCCACAGUUCACACCCAUCUAGAGAAUAGGAAGGACAGAAUUCUGCUAACCAGCUUUUGUUACACAACAUGCCAGCUUGCAGACUAGCUGGUAGUCUCUACAUUCUUGUCUUCAUGAAGAAGAAUGAAAUAAGAACUACAUAUCAUGCAUCAUGUUUUUUUUUCCAUUUUCUAAUGUAAGGCAGUGUUGAAAGAGGCAGCAUCAAACUGAAAGCAUCCCAUUUAUUUUCUCUGGGUAGUCAACUUAUUCGUCGUUUGCAAGAACUCUGAUCUCUAUGUAUUUCCAUUAAAAUGUUAUUUACAUCUGAACGUUAAUAAGAGAAUAGUAAAGCCAGUAUCUAGAGUGUAGGAGGCAGAGAGGCAUGAAAUAAUGAAUAAAUUGGAUUUCACCUACUUUAUCUAGUAAAAGAUGGAGAUUUCUUCCUCUCAGUAGGGAGCGUAGGAAUGCGGGAUCUGGCCCUUGUUCAAGAAGGAACUUGUUAAAUCUUAGUGUAUCUAAGCAUUUCUUCCCUUCUCUGCUUUAUGUAAUGCCUCUAAAGUGUUUGAAUGGCUUGUUUUUGUAUCAGUGAAAUUACAAUCCAGAUGGUAAAGCAAUCAGAUGUUGAAGCAUACUCAUGAGCAUGCACAUAAUGGCCCUGCAGGAGUAGGUGGAAGUAUCAUAUGCAAACUGUCAUGUACUUAUCAUUUUUGUUACUGGUAUUCCACAUCAUACCAUUGUGUAUUUCACUGGGAGUUACAGAGGUAAUGCUCCAGUUCCAAGUACUGUCAGUAUUUCUGGGUACCUGGUACUUGGAAGAGAAGAACUACAUAUCCCAGAAGACUUUCACUGCUCCGUUUCCAUUUUCUGCUCAGAGGGAAAGAUAAAACUGCUCACAAGUCAUGAGAAAGCCCCCCUUCUUUUACUGCUCAUCUCUGCAGUGCGUUCUCCCUAGCCAUCUCACCUUCAGCAUUAGUGUAAAGCCUUCUGUUUUGGACACACUUCCUAAUUUUAUUUGAUUUCUUAGCUUCAAUUUCAAUUGCAUUGCAUUCCAUUAUCAUAUUUAGUAACUUAAUUUUAAUCCCUUAGCUCAUUGCUGCUGUUUUGUUUUUAGGGCCGUCUCCCUACCUUUUCCCCCUUCUCCCUGGGUGCGAAUCCAUGGCCCCCCUGUUGUUCCAUAGUAGGCAUUAUUACUCUAAGGCAGGAGAGCUCAGGGCAGCUGCAUGUCGAAGAGCCAAACCCUUUAGAUGUCCCUUCCAAGUGGUUAUGUUUCCUCAGACACAGAGCAGAAAUAAAGCAGAAGCAAAGGAAAUGAAGGGCCUAUUUUGGCCCAGUGCACAGACCCUAUUACUUAUCCAGGGGUGAAAGUCAUACUCUGAUACGGCUCUUAGUGGGGGAGGGAGGUGGGAGGAAGCACAUUGGUUACAUCUACAUAAAGGGGAAAGAGAGAGAGAAACCUUGAGUUUGCUUGGAAUUAAAAAUGGACAAAACAUUGGAUAUGUGUUUGGGACUUCCUUCAAAAUCCUCAUCACAGAGAAGGGAUGAUGGUAAAUUUUGUAUUAGCUCUUCACCUGCACCCUACACUUCUGCCAUAUGCCAUGGUGCCUUCCAAUUUAAGGUUUUACUCAGAGCGUAAUUCUAAUGCUAUUAGCAUCACAGAGCUGGAAGAGGUUCUGUAGAGAUGCAUCAAAAGCUUUGGAUGUUCAUAGACUGUUGGGAAACGCCCCAAGUUUCCCCAAAAGGGUUGCCCUACCAGUACUCGCGUGGGGAACGCAAGAUCAACUCAAUAUGAGAUGCGUCCGACUUUAUUGUAGCAACACACCAUCUUAUAUAGCAUAUAUGCUUCCAGGGAUACAGGGUCCAGGGAUACAAGCUCUAUGCAACGCGCACGCUAACAAUAUUGUUGCCUGAAUUAUCUCCAUAUAUGGGAUAUGUUGUUAACUACAGCACUAUGGAUACAGAAUACUAUAGAUAUGCUGGAAUAUACUAGAACACACUGGAAACACCACAUUCCACGUAUCUAGGGAUUACAUCAUUACAUCAUAAAUCAUUAGUAAAUCAGUAGCUACGUGCUGCCGAGCAACCUGCUUCUCAACAAUAGACGAAGAAGUAGAUGGAUCCUGGGGUCUUCUAAUUACCUUGAGUAAAUAACCAGACCCCUGCAGAACAACUGGCACUUGAUCCUUCAUGACCUUCCUGUGGAUGUGGGCAACUCAGCACCUAGCAACCAAACUGAAAUCCCAAAGUGUGGGAUGUAUGUCCUCAAAUGCAUUUUCCUUCAUAUCACUGUGUUUCCACAAAAAUGUUUGAUUACAUGUUUCAAUCAACCUAAUUAUUCUGGAUUCUUUGUAGACGUGGAAUGCAUCUCACUUGCUCAGGUCAGUGCAGAAUUGAGAUAAACUUUUCAAAUACAGUGCAGCGUUUGCUUCCAGGUUCUUGUGGAGAAAUCUGCUGAUGCUGCUUAAUGUUUUCACUCCAGCUGUCCUGGAAUCUUUGACACCCACUCAUAGAAUCAAGAUCCGAAGUUUCCAUGCUACAGAUAAUAUCUUUGAGUUAAUUCAUUCAGAAAGAAGUAGUGUCUACUUGAUUAGUCAAAAUAUAUAGCUCUGAACUAUUUUAAAUGAACAUCCAAUUUUAAAUAAACAUUUGAAAUAUUCAGUGCUUAUUUCUGUUAUGUAAUUAUUAAAUCUUCCUCUCCUGUCCUGCACAAUGUCAUGAAUAAAUUAAAAUUAGUUUGUGAAAAUGAACAGUAUUAAACUCCUAAAACACUUUCUACUUUAUGCUAUUUGAUGGAUGCAGUGGAAUUGCUGGGACACAGCCUGAACCAAUGGUUGAGCACCAGGUGAGAAGGCAUGGUAAACCCAGGGAGGUCUGGUGCAAGCAAUGCACCUGAAUGACCAGAUGCAGGCUGCACCUCUCCUCACCCUCGUUUAAGGGUUAGCAGUCAAGGGAACUGCAUCUUUCAUGAUGGUGAUUGCGCUCUGAGCUGCCUCUGGUCAGUGGUAGGGGUGAGUCAAUUUUCCUUCUUUUUUACCUGCUGUUGCUCUGUAGCAUUUGUAUUUCAAAGCACUAUUUGUAUUACAAAGCACUGUUAUGACCUUCUUUUGCCAUACAAUGUACACUGUGAUUUUUUAUUUAAUAAAAUGGCUGACAGGGUGA